AAGCUUGCUUCAUUGAUGGCGACCGGCGCACGGGUGAGUAACACGUAUCCCACCUUCCGCUGACUCGGGGAUAGCCUUUCGAAAGAAAGAUUAAUACCCGAUAGUAAAGGACUUCCGCAUGGAUAUCCUUUUAAAGGAUUCCGGUCAGCGAUGGGGAUGCGUUCCAUUAGAUAGUUGGCGGGGUAACGGCCCACCAAGUCUACGAUGGAUAGGGGUUCUGAGAGGAAGGUCCCCCACAUUGGAACUGAGACACGGUCCAAACUCCUACGGGAGGCAGCAGUGAGGAAUAUUGGUCAAUGGGCGAGAGCCUGAACCAGCCAAGUAGCGUGAAGGAAGACUGCCCUAUGGGUUGUAAACUUCUUUUAUACGGGAAUAAAGUCAUCCACGUGUGGAUGUUUGUAUGUACCGUAUGAAUAAGGAUCGGCUAACUCCGUGCCAGCAGCCGCGGUAAUACGGAGGAUCCGAGCGUUAUCCGGAUUUAUUGGGUUUAAAGGGAGCGUAGGCGGGCUUUUAAGUCAGUUGUGAAAGUUUGCGGCUCAACCGUAAAAUUGCAGUUGAUACUGGAAGCCUUGAGUACAGUAGAGGCAGGCGGAAUUCGUGGUGUAGCGGUGAAAUGCUUAGAUAUCACGAAGAACUCCGAUUGCGAAGGCAGCUUGCUGGACUGUAACUGACGCUGAUGCUCGAAAGUGUGGGUAUCAAACAGGAUUAGAUACCCUGGUAGUCCACACAGUAAACGAUGGACACUCGCUGUUGGCGAUAUACAGUCAGCGGCUUAGCGAAAGCGUUAAGUGUCCCACCUGGGGAGUACGCCGGCAACGGUGAAACUCAAAGGAAUUGACGGGGGCCCG
rnacentral:rRNA from 1 species